UACGUAGGUGGCAAGCGUUGUCCGGAAUUAUUGGGCGUAAAGCGCGCGCAGGUGGUUCCUUAAGUCUGAUGUGAAAGCCCACGGCUCAACCGUGGAGGGUCAUUGGAAACUGGGGAACUUGAGUACAGAAGAGGAAAGUGGAAUUCCAAGUGUAGCGGUGAAAUGCGUAGAGAUUUGGAGGAACACCAGUGGCGAAGGCGACUUUCUGGUCUGUAACUGACACUGAGGCGCGAAAGCGUGGGGAGCAAACAGG
rnacentral:rRNA from 1 species